ensembl:lncRNA
AUGAUGCUCUGUGGGUGGUGGUCUCCAAAGGCCUGUCAGGACAAUGGAUCAAAUGCCAGCGCUGUUCCUUUGAACUAUUGUGUCUGUGUCUCUCAAAGGCAUUAUCUGACCCAGGACUACCUGGCCUGUCAGCGAAAGAAGCAGGCAGUGCUCAGUGUAGCAAGAAAUCCACUUGUCUGCAGGAGGCCCUAACCUAAAAGCACAAAGAUUAAUGACUGUGGUCCAGAGUGGUGUUACUGAGCGGCCAUGGAGGAAACAGCAGACCAGCGGUGUGGGAUUCCCCCCUCAUAGAACACCAGAUGGUGCGGCCUAGGACAUGGUUUCACUUAAAUGAUUGUUUUCUGACCUCACAUAUUCCUCUACCUAUAUCAUAUUUACCCUUCAAGACUGUACUGCAUUUAAUUAUAUAGUCAGUUAUGUUACAAAGUAUAUUGUAAACCAUACAUGUAUUCAGUAGUGUGCAUUCCCAUAGUCAUACUGUAGACUUUUUUGGAAGUGGCACUCAAAAUCCAUUUUGGAUUUUGACACUACACUACCAUUCAAAAGUUGGAUCACCAAGAUUUUUGUUUAUGAAUUUGUUGUAAAGAGAGGACCUAUUUAAUUGAUCAACGGUGACAGUGAAGUCUGUCUUUUAUUUAUAAUGUUCAAAUCAAUGCUGUUCUUUUCUUCAAAGAUUUCUGGGGGGUUGGGGGGGGUGAAUCAAGGUUUUCACAAAAAACAUUGGGAAGUACAACUGUUUUCAACAUUGAUGAUAAGAAAUAUUGAGCAUCAAAUAAGCAUAAUAGAAUGAUUUCUGAAGCAGCAUGUAACUGCAGAAAAUACAGCUUUCCAAUUCUAGAGAUACGUUAUGUUAAAUUAAAUUUUGAAAUAAAAGUUAUUUUACAUUGUAAAUAUUUCACAGCAAUACUGUUUUACUGUAUUUUUUUUUUUUUAUUAAAAAUGCAGCCUUUCUGAGCAUAAGAGACGUCUUUCAAAGCCAUUAAAAAAAUUUACUGAGCCCAAACUUCUGAAAGCUCAAAAUAUCUUAUACUGUGGGUUUGGUUUCCUAAUCAGAGAAGAGUCUUGUGACAUAAUCAGCAAUGUAAUGCAGUCGUUAAAAACUGCAAGAAAUUAUAAUUAUGCAACUGUUCACCAGAUAAUAAUGGUGUUUUUUCCACCUCUCAAAGAUUAUAGGAUUAUCCAGGCACUCUUGGCUUGUUCUCAACAAGGGAUUUAGAGCUAAAUAGAUUUAGUCAAUAUAAAAGCUACAGUAUAAAGCGCACUGAUUUCUGGGAGAUCCCACUCAUCAUUAAAGGGCCCAUAAGACAUUGCAUGCACUCAGAGGAUAACACUGUAGUAACAUUCUCCAAACGAUGACAUCAACGUUAGAGAAGACGGGGGUGGUUAGAGUCAGUCAGCAGGGUGUGACUAUGAGACGGCUGGCAUUAGGUGCCCUAGAAUAUGCCAGGUGGAAGAGAGAUUCCAAGUUCCUGUCCAGAUUUCAAGGCUUGACAUGACUUGGGUCUACAACACUACAGUUAAAUCUUUAUUUAUUGAGUUUAUUAAAAAGGUUUCUUCAAUGAAACACUCUGAGAAACUAUGGAAACAGAGUCCAACAGAAAUUCUAAACUGUAAUUUGUCUUUGCUCAGUGGUUCGAGUUGCUGGACUUUGCCAUGGCUCACUUGCUGGGUUUGAUGAAAGAGGGCAAAUGUAUUUUUUCCAUUUUCCAUUAAAGUAGACCAUUAUCAAAUUAUAGUAGUUUUAAGCAGGUAGUUCUGAAAAUAAUGAAAUAAAUAAAUAACAAUCUUAAUGGUGCUGUACAGUAGUGCUGGGUUGAAAAUAACUUUAAAUAACUUUGCUUUUAUGAACCAAUAUAUAGAUUUUUA